rnacentral:lncRNA from 10 species
CUUGUGGGAAAAAUUCACAUUCUAUAGAAAAUCCGCUUCCCCUUUUGUUUUCCUUCCUUUCUUUCCAAAUCCAGGAGAUAAUCAAGUAAGAGCCAGGCACCCUUUUAAGUCUGAGUAAGAAACAAUUUAAAAACUGCUCUCUCUGAAGUCAGCUGAGAGCUUCCUCUGCACGAUAAAACUUGGUCUCCACAAUCCUUUAUCUUUAACCUGAACAUUCCUUUCUAUCCCUAUGGAUCCCAUGUCUUUAGACAAACUCAACCAAUCGUCAACCAGAAAAUGUUUAAAUUUACCUAUAGCCUGGAACCCCCACCCCUGCCCCCCUGUAGCUUUGAAUUGUCCCACCUUUCUGAACCAAAUCAAUGUAUUUCUUAAAUCUAUUUGAUUGACAUCUCAUGCCUCCCUAAAAUAUAUAAAGCCAAAUUGCACCCCAACCACCUUGGACACAUGUUCUCAGGACCUACUAAGGGCUGUGUCAUGGGCCAUGGUCCUUCAUAUUUGACUCAGAAUAAAUCUCUUAAAAUAUUUUACCAAGUUUCACUCUUUUUGUCAACAGCUUUAAGGCUGAAAAAUAUUCUGUUGUUUGUAUGUUUCAUGCGCGUCCGUGUAAAGAGACCACCAAACAGGCUUUGUGUGAGCAACAUGGCUGUUUAUUUCACCUGGGUGCAGGUAGGCUGAGUCCGAAAACAGAGUCAGCAAAGGGAGAUAAGGGUGGGGCCGUUUUAUAGGAUUUGGGUAGGUAAAGGAAAAUUACAGUCAAAGGGGGUUUGUUCUCUGGAGGGCAGGAGUGGAGGUUGCAAGGUGCUCAGUGGGGGUGAUUUUUGAGCCAGGAUGAGCCAGGAAAAGGACUUUCACAAGGUAAUGUCAUCACUUAAGGCAAGGACCGGCCAUUUACACUUCUUUUGUGGUGGAAUGUCAUCAGUUAAGGUGGGGCAGGGCAUAUUCACUUCUUUUGUGAUUCUUCAGUUACUUCAGGCCAUCUGGGCAUAUAUGUGCAAGUCACAGGGGAUGCGAUGGCUUGGCUUGGGCUCAGAGGCCUGACAUUCCUGCCUUCUUAUAUUAAUAAGAAAAACAAAACAAAAUAGUGUUGAAGUGUUGGGGCGGCGAAAAUUUUUGGGGGGUGGUAUCGAGAGAGAGAAUGGUCGAUGUUUCUCAGGGCUGCUUCAAGCGGGAUUAGGGGCGGCGUGGGACCCUAGAGUGGGAGAGAUUAAGCUGAAGGGAGGUCUUGCGGUAAGGGGUGAUAUUGUGGGGAUGUUAGAAGAAACAUUUGUUGUAUAGAAUGAUUGGUGAUGGCCUGGAUACGGUUUUGUAUGAAUUGAAAAACUAAAUGGAAUAACAGAAGGAGAAAAACAGGUAUAAAAGGUCUAAGAAUUGGGACCACUUAGGAUAUCUGAUUAGAGAGUGCUUAAGGAGAUUCGGCAUAGUCCUGCCAGCAAAGAUCAAAGAGAGGCUGGGACGAGGGGUGCAGGGGAAUAGUGGAAAAAGGCAUCUUUAAGAUCAAGCACGGAAUAGUGAGUUGUGGAGGAGGGUAUUGAGGACAAAAGAGUGUACGGGUUGGGCACCACAGGGUGGAUAGGCAAAACAAUUUGGUUGAUAAGGCGCAGAUCCUGAACUAACUUGUAAGGCUUGUCUGGUUUUAAGACAGGUGAAAUGGGGGAAUUGUAAGGAGAGUUUAUAGGCUUUAAAAGGCAAUUUUGUAGCAGGCGAGUGAUAACAGGCUUUAAUCUUUUUAAAGCGUGCUGCUGGAUGGGAUAUUGGCGUUGAGUGGGGUAAGGGUGAUUAGGUUUUAAUGAGAUGGUAAGGGGUGCAUGAUCGGUCGCCAAGGAGGGAGUAGAGGUAUCUUAUACUUGUGGGUUAAGGUGGGGGGAUACAAGAGGAGGAUGCAAAGGAGGCUUUGGAUUGGGAAGAAGGGUGGCAAUGAGAUAUAGCUGUAGUCCAGGAAUAGUCAGGGAAGCAGAUGAUUUAAAGUGUCUCAGCCUAAUAAGGGAACUGGGCAGCUGGGGAUAACUAAAAGGAGUGCUUAAAAGAGUACUGUCUAAGUUGGCACCAGAGUUGGGGAGUUUUAAGAGGUUUAGAAGCCUGGCCGUCAAUACCCACAACAGUUAUGGAGGCAAGGGAAACGGGCCCUUGAAAAGAAGGUAAUGUGGAGUGGGUAGCCUCCGUAUUGAUUAAGAAGGGGAUGGGCUUACCUUCCACUGUGAGAGUUACCUGAAGCUUGGCGUCCGUGAUGGUCUAGGGGGCUUCCGAGGCGAUCAGGCAGCAUCAGUCUUCAGCCACUAAGCCAAGAAGAUCUGGGAAGGAGUCAGUCAGAGAGCCUCGGGCCAGAGUUCCAGGGGCUCUGGCAGUGGCUGUCAGGUGAGCUGAACAGUCCGAUUUCCAGUGGGGUCCCGCACAGAUGGGACACGGCUUAGGAGGAAUCCUGGGCUGCAGGCAUUCCUUGGCCUGGUGGUCAGAUUUCUGGCACUUGUAGCAAGCUCCUGGGGGAGGAGGUUCUGAAGGAACACCUGGCCUCUGCGGUUCAGGCGUUUGGAAGUUCUUGUAUGCUAGAGAUGUGGCUAGGGUUUGUCUCACAGUGGAGGCGAGGAAUUGCAACUUUUUUUUUUAUUAUUGUACACCUUGAAGGAGAGGUUAAUUAAGUCCUGUUGUGGGGUUUGAAGGCCAGAUUCUAAUUUUUGGAGUUUUAUUUAAUGUCCGGGGCAGAUUGGGUAAUAAAAUGUAUAUUGAGAAUAAGACGGCCUUUUGACAUUUUACCGUCUAGGGCUGUAAAGCAUCUCAGGGUUGCUGCCGAACGAGCCAUGAACUGGGCUGGGUUUUUAUAUUUGAUAAAAAAGAGCCUAAAUGCUUCUGAUUUGGGAUAAAGAAAAAGGAGCAUUAACCUUGACUAUGCCUUUGGCUCCAGCCACCUUUUUAAGAGUAAAUUGUGGGCAGGUGGGGGAGGGCUAGUCAGAGAAUGAAACUGUAAGCCGGACCAGGUGUGAGGAGGGGAGGCGAUAAAAAGAUUACAGGGUGGAGGAGCAGAGGCUGAGGAAGAAUUGGGACCUAGCUUGGCCUGGCAAGGAGGGGAGAGGUCAGAUGGGUCUGUAGAAAAGGAAGAUUAGAAAGACUCAGCUACGCUUGGGGUUGGGACUGAGGGGACAGGUGGGAGGGAAAGAAGGAAGAUUUGGGACGAGUUGCACUGGGCACAGAGACUAGGAAGGGACUGAUGUGUAAAAGAAUGCCUGGACAUCAGGCACCUCAGACCAUUUGUCAAUUUUAGGACAAGAAUUAUUUAGAUCUUGUAGGAUGGAAAAAUUGAAAGUGCCAUUUUCCGGCUAUUUGGAACUACUGUCGAGUUUGUAUUGGGGUCAAGCGGCAUUGCAGAAGAAAAUAAGAUGCUUAGAUUUUAGGUCAGAUGAGAGUUGAAGAGGUUUUAAGUUCUUAAGAAUAUAGGCUAAGGGAGAAGAAGGAGGAAUGGAAGGUGGAAGCUUGCCCAUAGUAAAGGAGGCAAGCCCAGAGAAAAGAGCAGAGACACGGAGAAGGGGUGGGGGGUUCUUGCCCUCCAGAAAAGCAGAGAAAGGGUUGGGGCAUGGAAAUAAGGAAUUGGGGCACAGAGAUAAGAGGGUGGGGCACAGAAAUAAGGGAUUGGGUGUUCUUGCCCCCUAGAAAAGCGGGACUUGCCGCUAAGGGUGAAGGAGAAGGGGUUGAGGGGUACUUGCCCCUCCCCCAGAAAAGCAGAGAAGGGGUAGAGACAAGGAGAGAAGGGGUUGGGGUACUUGCCCCUUCCUCAGAAAAGCGGGACUUGCCACUAAGGGUGAAGGACCAAGGCAGGUGUCCCUGCUUGGUCUGACACCUUUGAAAUGUGUGUGAAUAAUCAGAGAGGUGUCCCUGCAAGGAUUAAAUACCAAGGGAAGGCUGCCUUCCCAGUCCGUGACCGCCGCCGGAGUUUUGGGUCCACGGAUAAAACGUGUCUCCUUUGUCUCUACCAGAAAAUGAAAGGAAUUGAAAUUAAGAGAAGGGAGUGAUUGAAGUGUGGCGCCAAGAUUGAAAGGAGAAAGAGGUUGAAGGAUAGUGAGGGAAGCUGGAGAAGAGAGUAAAAAGAGGCCGCUUACCGGAUUUGAAAUUGGUGAGAUGUUUCUUGGGCUGGUCGGUCUGAGGACCUGAGGUCGUAGGUGGAUCUUUCUCACAGAGCAAAGAGCAGGAGGACAGGGGAUUGAUCUCCUAAGGGAGGUCCCCCGAUCUGAGUCACGACACCAAAUUUCAUGCGCGUCCCUGUGAAGAGACCACCAAACAGGCUUUGUGUGAGCAACAAGGCUGUUUAUUUCACCUGGGUGCAGGCGGGCUGAGUCCAAAGAGAGUCAGCAAAGGGAGAUAGGGGUGGGGCCGUUUUAUAGGAUUUGGGUAGGUAAAGGAAAAUUACAGUCAAAGGGGGUUUGUUCUUUGGCGGGCAGGAGUGGGGGUCGCAAGGUACUCAGUGGGGGAGCUUUUUGAGCCAGGAUGAGCCAGGAAAAGGACUUUCACAAGGUAAUGUCAUCACUUAAGGCAAGGACCGGCCAUUUACACUUCUUUUGUGGUGGAAUAUCAUCAGUUAAGGUGGGGCAGGGCAUAUUCACUUCUUUUGUGAUUCUUCAGUUACUUUGGGCCAUCUGGGCGUAUACAUGCAAGUCACAGGGGAUGCGAUGGCUUGGCUUGGGCUCAGAGGCCUGACAGUAUGCACCAUAUUUUGUUUAUCCAUUCAUUUACCAACUGAUAUUUGGCUUGCUCCUACAUUUUAGCUAUGGUGAAUAAUGCUUCUAUCAAACAUGGUUGUACGAAUAUAUCUUAAAUACCUUCUGUUCAAUUAUUUUAGAUAUAUACCGAGAAGCAGUAUUGCUGGAACAUAUGGAAAGAGGUCCUGAUCCAGACACCAAGUGAAGGUUCUUGGACCUGGCUUAAGAAAGAAUUCAGGAGAUUCAAGAGAGAUCUCCUGACCUUUCUGUCAUGUGAGGCUGCAAUGAGAAGAUGGCCAUCUAUGAGGAAGUGAUUGCUCACCAAACACCAAAUCUGCUGACACCUUGAUCUUGGACUUCCCAGUCACCAGACUAUGAGAAAUAGAUUUUUGUAAUUUAUAAGCUACCCAAUUUAUGGUGUAGCAGUCUGAAUGGACUAAGACAGUGUGAUAUCUAUGUGUGCCUAUUUUAAAGUGUGCUUAGAUACCUUGGUAAAUAGUAAAAUACAAAUUUAUUAAAAAUUAUGAAUAAAAACAUGUAAUUUUUAUUUAGUAUAUGCAAAAUAAUUCAAACAAAUUGAACACAUUCAAAAAUUUAUUGUUCAGUGCCUAGUAAACAUGUAUUAGGCAUCAAAUUUGAACUACUCUUACAUUUCACAUGGCUGAAAAGCCACGAAUCAUCUUUGCAUCACCAUUUAGCCGAGUUCAUCCACAGGGAGGGCUGGCUGAGAGUUUCAUGUUCCUCUUUGAUUGGUGAAAGGUGAAACCCUUUUGUUCACCCAGUAAACCCUGUUGGAGGCAGAUAAGGGAAAAUAAAAUUUCAGCUGUCAUUUCCAGGCUCCCAUAGAAGACAAAGUUGACUCUGCAAGUUGUUUUCAAUUCAGUGAUAAGGCUAUAAGUCUUUGAGUCUGCGUGUGUGUGUGUGUGUGUGUGUGUAAAGAACAUAGUGAUGGGUUAUAAAUUGCCACACACUGAAGGGUUUUCCCGCAGCUUUAGAAAGUCUUUAUGAGUACCAUUUUGCAGGAAAAUGAGGUUUCCCUCUCACAUACAUAGUGCAGGCUAGAAGUUAUUAAUUUUAUGGAUAUAUUCAAAGGAACUGGGGAGGGCUUUUUCUUGAAAUACCAGCUUACCUUGGAAUAGUAGUUCCCCCGGACCCCCAGAAUAUCAUAUCAUUGACAUCUUUAUGAGGAUGAGUCAAGAACUUCACAGUCCUGAGGAAAUGAAGGUAUGAGCCAUGACUGCCAUCUCCAGCAUCAACAGGAUGUCUUACAAAAAUGCUGGGAUAAAUUGGCAUAUGCUGCUUGACACAGGGCUCUAUUUGUAGCUUGGGUUGUAUAUCGAGCACUUGUAAGAUUGUAGAAAUUAUUGUGAUUGUUCCUUUAUGACUGCGGUUUUGACUACAUAUUCAUGUAUAAUCCAGUUGUCAAAGAAUAUUUUUUAAAGCAGCUUUAUUGAAAUGUAGUUCACAGGACACAUAAUUUACACAUUUAAGAUACAGAAUUUAAUGGUUUUUAGUAUAUUCACAGAUACAGACAUUUCCCAACUUUCAAUGAACUUACAACUUUUCAACUUCACUAUGGUGUGAAAGCGAUAUGUAUUCAGUGGAAACCAUACUUUACAUAGCCAUACAACCGUUCUUUGUUUUAUUCUCACUACAGCACUCAAUAAAUUAUAUGAAAUAUUCAACACUUCAUUAUAAAAUAGGAUUUGUGUUAGAUAACUUUGCCCAACUUUAGGCUAAUGUAAGUUUUCUGAGCACAUUUAAAGUAGGAGAGGCUAAGUUAUAAUAUUCUGGUAGUUUAGGCAUACUAAAUGCAUUUUUGACAUGCAGUAUUUUAAACAUAUGAUGAGUUUAUUAAAGCAUAACCUCAUUGCAAGUUGAAGAGUAUGUAUAUUUGCAAGCAAUUUUAGAACAUUUUUAUCACUACAAAAAGAAACUUGGUACACAUUAGCUAUCACCACUCUGUGAUCCUUCUCUUCCCUUCAACCCUAGGCAACCACUCACCUACUUUUUGUUUCUAUGGGCUUCCUUGUUUUGGACAUUUUAUAUUAAUGGAAUUAUCUGUGUAGUCACAUGUGACUGACUUCUUUCACUUAGCAUGAUGUUUUCAGGGUUCACCCUGUUACAGUAUACAUCCAACACUUCAUUCCCAUUACAUGGUUCAGGCUGGUCUGCAACUCUUGGCCUCAAGUGAUUCUUGGACCUUAUCCUCCCUCAUUUCAUUUUAUAAUUGGAUAAUGUUACUUUAUAUGUAUAUACCACAUUUUGUUUAUUCAUUCAUCAGUUGAUGGGCAUUUGAAUUGUUUACACCUUUUAACUAUUAUGAAUAAUGUUGCUGCAAAUGAUUUUGUGCAAGUUUCUUUGUAAGUGUAGUUUUCAUUUCUCCAAGUGUAUAUACCUAGGAGUGGGAUUGCUGGGCCAUAUGGAAAAUCUUUAUGUAAUCACAUAAGGAACCGUCAGAUUAGUUUUCAAAGAGGCUAUACCAUUUUACGUUUCCACCAGCACUAUAUGAGGGUUCUGAUUUCUCCACUUCCUUCACAGCAUUUAUUAUCUGAUUUUUUAAUUCUAGCUUUCGUAGUGGGUAUAAGGUGGUAUUUCAUUAUAGUUUUGACUUAAUUUACCUGAUAACGAAUUAAAUUUAGUAUCUUUUCAUUUGCCUGUUGGAUAUUUGUAAUCUUACUGAAAGAAAUGUUAGUUAACAUCAUCUACCCAUUUAAAAAAAUUGAGUUAUUUGUAUCUAUGUUAUUGAGUUGUAAGUUGUCUUUAUAUAUUCUGGAAACAAGCCUUUUAUCAGAUAUGUAACUUGUAGAUAUUUUAUCCCAUUACAUAGGUUGUCUUUUCACUUUCUUGAUGGUGUCCUUUGAAACAUAAAAGUUUUUAAUAUUGAUGAAGUCUAGUUUAUCUCUUUGUUGUUGUUGUUGCUAAUGCUUGUUGUGUUGUAUCUAAUAAUCACUUACCAAGUAUAAGGUCAAAAAAUUGACCCUUAUAGUUUCUUCUAAGCAUUGUGUAGUUUUCACUCCUACAUUUAAAUUUAUUUUGAGUUAAUUUUUUAUAUAGUGUGAGAUAAGGGUUUACCUUUAUUCUUUUGCAUGUGAUGAUCCAGAUGUCCCAGGACAGUUUGUUAAAAUUAUCAUUCUUUCACCAUUACACAGUUUUGGUAAAGUUCUAGAAAAUCAAUAACUGUAGAUCUAUGGGUUUAUUUUUGGACUCUUAAUUUUAUCUCAUGGCUUAUACAUUUAUCAUUUUGCUAAUAUCACACUAUCUUGAUUAUUGUUGCUUUGUAGUGAGUUUCAAAAUUGGGAAAUAUGAGUCCGCCUACUUUACUUUUCUUUUUCAAGAUGUUUUUGGC